AAGGAUGGAGACUUUUCCUGCUCACAUUUCCUGCUGUAUUCCUUUGCGUCUAGUGCACUCCUGGGCAUACAGUACUGACUCAAAUAAAUAUUGGUUGCAGGAGAAAAAUACUAAGUGGAAGGUGUAAACAUGGGAAAUGAUGGGAUGAAAGAGGUCUGCAAGAGAGGCUUGUCCAUUCCGGGCGACAACCGUAGAAAGAAGAAAGGCCAGGGGACCGUGGUGACACUGGAGAGCUUGAUGUUUAAGAUCUGCGGUUCUAGAAGGGAGAGAGGAAAUGUAAGAGGAACGUCAAGAUGCUGCAGAGAAAUGUCACCCUCACUCCAUAACGGGCAAG